rnacentral:rRNA from 1 species
CACGUGGGUAACCUGCCUGUAAGACUGGGAUAACUCCGGGAAACCGGAGCUAAUACCGGAUAGUUCCUUGAACCGCAUGGUUCAAGGAUGAAAGACGGUUUCGGCUGUCACUUACAGAUGGACCCGCGGCGCAUUAGCUAGUUGGUGAGGUAACGGCUCACCAAGGCGACGAUGCGUAGCCGACCUGAGAGGGUGAUCGGCCACACUGGGACUGAGACACGGCCCAGACUCCUACGGGAGGCAGCAGUAGGGAAUCUUCCGCAAUGGACGAAAGUCUGACGGAGCAACGCCGCGUGAGUGAUGAAGGUUUUCGGAUCGUAAAGCUCUGUUGUUAGGGAAGAACAAGUGCAAGAGUAACUGCUUGCACCUUGACGGUACCUAACCAGAAAGCCACGGCUAACUACGUGCCAGCAGCCGCGGUAAUACGUAGGUGGCAAGCGUUGUCCGGAAUUAUUGGGCGUAAAGGGCUCGCAGGCGGUUUCUUAAGUCUGAUGUGAAAGCCCCCGGCUCAACCGGGGAGGGUCAUUGGAAACUGGGAAACUUGAGUGCAGAAGAGGAGAGUGGAAUUCCACGUGUAGCGGUGAAAUGCGUAGAGAUGUGGAGGAACACCAGUGGCGAAGGCGACUCUCUGGUCUGUAACUGACGCUGAGGAGCGAAAGCGUGGGGAGCGAACAGGAUUAGAUACCCUGGUAGUCCACGCCGUAAACGAUGAGUGCUAAGUGUUAGGGGGUUUCCGCCCCUUAGUGCUGCAGCUAACGCAUUAAGCACUCCGCCUGGGGAGUACGGUCGCAAGACUGAAACUCAAAGGAAUUGACGGGGGCCCGCACAAGCGGUGGAGCAUGUGGUUUAAUUCGAAGCAACGCGAAGAACCUUACCAGGUCUUGACAUCCUCUGACAACCCUAGAGAUAGGGCUUUCCCUUCGGGGACAGAGUGACAGGUGGUGCAUGGUUGUCGUCAGCUCGUGUCGUGAGAUGUUGGGUUAAGUCCCGCAACGAGCGCAACCCUUGAUCUUAGUUGCCAGCAUUUAGUUGGGCACUCUAAGGUGACUGCCGGUGACAAACCGGAGGAAGGUGGGGAUGACGUCAAAUCAUCAUGCCCCUUAUGACCUGGGCUACACACGUGCUACAAUGGACAGAACAAAGGGCUGCGAGACCGCAAGGUUUAGCCAAUCCCACAAAUCUGUUCUCAGUUCGGAUCGCAGUCUGCAACUCGACUGCGUGAAGC